AGUGGACGCUGGCGGUAGGCCUAACACAUGCAAGUCGAACGGCAGCACAGUAAGAGCUUGCUCUUACGGGUGGCGAGUGGCGGACGGGUGAGGAAUACAUCGGAAUCUACUUUUUCGUGGGGGAUAACGUAGGGAAACUUACGCUAAUACCGCAUACGACCUACGGGUGAAAGCAGGGGAUCUUCGGACCUUGCGCGAUUCAAUGAGCCGAUGUCGGAUUAGCUAGUUGGCGGGGUAAAGGCCCACCAAGGCGACGAUCCGUAGCUGGUCUGAGAGGAUGAUCAGCCACACUGGAACUGAGACACGGUCCAGACUCCUACGGGAGGCAGCAGUGGGGAAUAUUGGACAAUGGGCGCAAGCCUGAUCCAGCCAUACCGCGUGGGUGAAGAAGGCCUUCGGGUUGUAAAGCCCUUUUGUUGGGAAAGAAAAGCAGCAGGUUAAUACCCCGCUGUUCUGACGGUACCCAAAGAAUAAGCACCGGCUAACUUCGUG
rnacentral:rRNA from 1 species